UCACCAGUAGCUCAGCGGUAGUAGCACCUGACUGUUAAUCAGGGGGUCGUAGGUUCGAAUCCUACCUGGUGAG
rnacentral:tRNA from 1 species